rnacentral:rRNA from 1 species
UAGGGAAUCUUCCGCAAUGGGCGAAAGCCUGACGGAGCAACGCCGCGUGAGUGAUUAAGGUCUUCGGAUCGUAAAACUCUGUUAUUAGGGAAGAACACAUGUGCAAGUAACUAUGCACGUCUUGACGGUACCUAAUCAGAAAGCUACGGCUAACUACGUGCCAGCAGCCGCGGUAAUACGUAGGUGGCAAGCGUUAUCCGGUAUUAUUGGGCGUAAAGCGCGCGUAGGCGGUUUUUUAAGUCCGAUGUGAAAGCCCACGGCUCAACCGUGGAAGGUCAUUGGAAACUGGAAAACCUGAGUGCAGAAGAGGGAAGUGGAAUUCAAUGUGUAGCGGUGAAAUGCGCAGAGAUAUGGAGGGACACCAAUGGCGAAGGCGACUUUCUGGUCUGUAACUGACGCUGAUGUGCGAAAGCGUGGGGAUCAAACAGG